CGUAACAAGGUUUCCGUAGGUGAACCUGCGGAAGGAUCAUUACCGAGUCGAGGCGGGCGGCGACCUCCGGGUUUCGCCGCCUGCGCACCUCACCACCCGUGUCUACCGUACCCCGUUGCUUCGGCGGGCCCGCCGCUCAGUCGGCCGCCGGGGGACCUCAGGUCCCCGGGCCCGUGCCCGCCGGAGACCCCUCGAACACUGCCUGAAGGUUGCUGUCUGAGUUAACAAAACAAACAAACAAAACUUUCAACAACGGAUCUCUUGGUUCCGGCAUCGAUGAAGAACGCAGCGAAAUGCGAUAAGUAAUGUGAAUUGCAGAAUUCAGUGAAUCAUCGAAUCUUUGAACGCACAUUGCGCCCCCUGGUAUUCCGGGGGGCAUGCCUGUCCGAGCGUCAUUACUGCCCUCAAGCGCGGCUUGUGUGUUGGGCCUCGUCCCCCUUCCCGGGGACGGGCCCGAAAGGCAGUGGCGGCGCCGUGCCCGGUCCUCGAGCGUAUGGGGCUCUGUCACCCGCUCUGGAGGCCCGGCCGGCUGCCGCCGACCAACCCCCAACCUUUUAACCGGUUGACCUCGGAUCAGACAGGGAUACCCGCUGAACUUAAGCAUA
rnacentral:rRNA from 1 species